rnacentral:rRNA from 1 species
UACGUAGGGUGCAAGCGUUGUCCGGAAUUAUUGGGCGUAAAGAGCUCGUAGGCGGUCUGUCACGUCGGCUGUGAAAUCCCGAGGCUCAACCUCGGGUCUGCAGUCGAUACGGGCAAACUAGAGUAUUGCAGGGGAGACUGGAAUUCCUGGUGUAGCGGUGAAAUGCGCAGAUAUCAGGAGGAACACCUGCGGCGAAGGCGGGUUGCUGGGCCGACACUGACGCUGAGGCGCGAAAGCCAGGGGAGCGAACGGG